GGCCGGUCCUGUCCGUGGCCGUCAUGCCGCUUAAUAGGAUAGUCGGGGGCAUCAGUAUUCAAUUGUCAGAGGUGAAAUUCUUGGAUUUAUUGAAGACUAACUACUGCGAAAGCAUUGCCAAGGAUGUUUUCAUUAAUCAGUGAACGAAAGUUAGGGGAUCGAAGACGAUCAGAUACCGUCGUAGUCUUAACCAUAAACUAUGCCGACUAGGGAUCGGGCGAUGUUAUCUUUUUGCCUCGGCACCUUGGCCGGGUCUUCUUGAGGCGCAUGCCCUUUCACUGGGUGUGUCGGGGAAUCAGGACUUUACUUGAAAUAGAGU
rnacentral:rRNA from 1 species